rnacentral:rRNA from 1 species
UACGAAGGGGGCUAGCGUUGGUCGGAUUUACUGGGCGUAAAGCGCAUGUAGGCGGGUCGUUCAGUUGGGGGUGAAAUCCCGAGGCUCAACCUCGGAACUGCCUUCAAAACUGGCGACCUGGAGCAAGAUAGAGGCGAGUGGAAUUGCGAGUGUAGAGGUGAAAUUCGUAGAUAUUCGCAGGAACACCAGUGGCGAAGGCGACUUGCUGGAUCUUUGCUGACGCUGAGAUGCGAAAGCGUGGGGAGCAAACAGG